GGAGUGAGAGGGGAUGAUCUGCAACACAUGGCCCAACGGGAAUCAAACCUUUGUUGCUGCGAUAACAAUAUGUGGUACGGGCUAAACCAGGUGUGAUUACGACUACCAGCGGUUGUACUUCAGAUGGACCUCAUCACCCUCUUUGCUGUCCUACUAGUGUAACCUUAUGAUCGGAUACAUACAAGUGUUGUCAAGGAUAAACAGAGAUCAUGCUAGCCCACAGCGAACACCAGAUUGACUUGUGAGUCUUCAAGCAGAAAUUAUGACAACACCUGCCUAAAGUUCCAGUUUCCUGAACAGCAUACCCUGUCUGUAUGAGACUCUGUCCCACCUGUCUUCAGUCAAGUCUGGACCCAAUGACUCAGACACCAGUCUUGUCAAGGCUAAUUAGAGAGAGGAUCAUUCCAGUCCACAGUGAAUACCUGAUGGUCAACAUACGAGUCCUCAAGCAGAACUGGUGAAAAUACACGCUUCAAGUUCCAGCUUCCUGAACUUCAUGUCCAUGUGAGACGCUAUACCAUGUUGAGUGCCCUCUUCAGUCAAGUCUGGACUCAGUGACUCAUUACUCUUGAUCAACUCAGGGCAAGUGGCUAAUCCUUUCAUGUUUAUUCAUGGUUAUCCUUCAUAUAUAUGGACACAUGCUGUUUCUUCAAGAUCUCAACACUGCUUUGUGAGUAUAUUGUACAAGAUAUUGUAUCAGUUCAACCUGUUUUUCACAGAGAAUGUUAGUUUCUUAAGGUAUAUCAAUGAUGGUCUGUACCUUGAUUUACAAUAUGCUUUAUUUGAUAUUUCCUUUGUAAUUUACAAUAAUCAGAAGUUGACUGAAAUCUAUGCCAACCAAUUGUAUUACAUUCUACGUUGUACCGUAUUUUUGUACCGUGAUGUCUUAUACAUUGUCACUAUAUUUUUUAUGGUAAAGUUCUGGCAACCACAGCUGCCGGUA